rnacentral:sRNA from 1 species
GUCUCAGACCGAUCCUUUUGCUCUUGCUUGUGGGCGAGUGAGGCUUCCCUGUCAAAGGCUUAUAUAAGUUUAAUAUCAUAGAUCAAAUAAUAAACUAAACACAUAUUUGAGUGAUAUAAAGUGGUCAUUUUAUUGAAUAUUUUAUCAUAAUUUGUUUCUUUUGUUUUAAGUAAAGAGUUAAAGACUAGAUUUUUGGUAAUUUAUUGAGUAAAGAGUAGUUUUUAGGAACAUGUAGGCAGUUAUACAGGACUUUUUGUAUGUACAUCUUUCAGAGCUUGUUCCUGAAACUUUGGCGUAGACUAGAAAAUUAUUUACGGAAAGAAAACAUUUUUUUAUCUCAAGUUAUUUUAAUCUACAUAUUUGUACAAGUUUCACUUAUAUGAUUAAUUAGCUCUAUAGUGAACAAAAAUUUGUUGUUAAAAAUAUACAGGAGACAAUGCAAGAGUAUUUUGAAAGGGCUUUGCUGGCAGUAAGUUGCAGAUCUUGAUACCCAAGUAAGAGAAAGGUGGUGUCUCAGACCGAUCCUUUUGCUCUUGCUUGUUGGCGAGUGAGGCUUCCCUGUCAGUUUUCUUUUGAUGCAAGGAAUAAACAAACCAUACUAGAUAAGACAUUUUUGAGAGAAAAAAAAUCAUGCAACUUUGUUUCCUUUUUAUGAAAAGUAAAAUCGAGUUGAAUUUGUAUAGUGUCAUGACUGUUUUACAUUUUGUACAUGCAUAAGCCAGAUCUUAUUCCAGACCUUUUUAGGAUAGACUAGAAGAAUUUUAUUGAAUUUCCAUGAUUUAAAUUUACCAUUUCGCCAAAUCUUGAUAAUCAAUUAUUGUUUGCAUUGAAAGUUUGUGUAAAUUAAAAUUACUUAUAUACAUUCCAAAAUGUUAACUUAAUAGUCUGGUCAUCAGAAUAUGUAUUUUUCUUUUCUGUAUAAUAAAUUUUCAAUAGUAUAAUGUAAACCCUAAGGAAUUUUAUUUUAAAUCACGUGAAGUGUUUAAAAUUAGAGAUUAGAGAUGCACAUGUACAUCAUUAUAAUUGAACACAAUAUGUUUAUUCAAUUUAGUAUAAUUUGGUAUUUGUAUGCAUCAUAUAUAUAGGGUUUUUUUCAACGCUAUUACAUAUAAUAUGAUUGUUAAUAUAUAUCUUCUCUGAAGUGGUUUUCAUGGAAGCUCUUAUCUAUUUGCAGUUAUGAACUAUAGAGUGUGUAUGUAGUAUGUAUGCUUCUAUGAAAACAUGCUAUUUUGAAAGUACAUCAUGUCAUGUACAUGCACUUGGAAAGAGAAUUUGUGUUUAAAUGUGUAUGCAUUUUAGUGACCAAUAAAUAUGUAACAAAAUUUGAUGACUUCAAUAUUGUAAACUUUCAACAAUUGCUUUUCUUUAUCCACUUGCAUUAUAUUGGAAAAUUGACUUUGUCUUGUAAUUUAUGUUGUAUAUGAAAAUACGCAAGUUAAACUAAAAUUUGUUAUUAGCAGACCAUGCAGCAAUUUUUAUGGGUCUGUUUCAGCUGUGUUUUUUUUUCUACUAGCCCAUAUAGAUUCCAUUAUUUCUAUUAAAUGUGUAUUAGCCUGCAUUUGCUGAAGUCAAAUGUGCAUUUCACAAUUCCAAAUUUGGACAUUUUACUUAAGUAUUUUUUUAAAGAACUAUAUAAGCAAUUGUAAUGGCAUCAAUUCCAUAUAUGUAUCUGAUCAUGACGUAUAUAUUGUAAUUUUCUAAAUUGUGACAUUUAUGCUUAAAACUUUGAAAUAUUUUGUUAUGUAAGAAUACAUGUAAAAAAAUGUUUACAUCAUUGAGACUUUUAACAUGCAAUAAAAUCGAAUCUU